CUUCUCUCGGGAGCCUCCACCCAGGCGCAUGGCUCCAUGAAGCAAGAGGAGGAGGCAGAGCGCGAGAGAUCCCGUCCGCCCCAGCCGCGUCUGGGCCAGGAGAAAAGCAAAACCAUAUUCCUGCUGCUGUCAGUUUUGAUGCACUGAGAAAACUUCAGAGACCUAAGCUUUUUCCAGAGAAGAGAAGCUUUACUGGUGUUCCAGCCCUAAGGCUCAUAUGACAUUAACAGACAAGACACUUUUCAGAAAGACAGGUUGUUCUUUUGGGCCACAUCUAAGAAAUCUUUGUCUAGCCAAAAGCCACAAAUAAUUUCUCAUUUUUUGGCUUCUGGAAGAUGUACAGUUAAAUGUUAUAUUUGGGACUGUUAUCUAAUUUGAUUAAAUUGCACUCUACAAUAUGAUAUUUGAAUUGAUGAAAAAUUAGUAAAUGUUAAUAUUUUUUAAAGUAGCCAAAUCUUGCAAUUUAUAUAUAAUAGAGAAGACUAGAAAAUCCCCCAUAUUUAUUUCCUCUUACUUCGUACUACUAAAAUUUGUAUUUAGGCAUUUGGUUUCUCAGAUAAACAUUACAUUCCCCAGUAUAUGGUUCUAUCUGGCUUGGUGACGACAUGUUGAACAUUAAGAUGUGAGCAGAAGUAAUACAUACACACUCUUUUUAAUGUCUUUAAUUGAAUGGGAUAUUGGCCCAUUUUUUCUUCCAGUUUAUUACACUGAAUAUUGACAUGUUAUUUUCCAAUAUUGAGACAAUCAAUGACAAGACUUUAAGAGUAACAAUGUAAAAAUUAUAGAAGUUGUCUGAGUUUAUCAACAAUCCCCUGGAUUAGAACCCCCUACCAGUUCUAGGUCAUCUAAUAUAUAGACAUUGUGUUCAGUAGAAAUAAAUAUAUAUAUUUUUUAAUAUACUUUAAGUUCUAGGAUACAUGUGCACAACAUGCAGGUUUGUUACAUUGGUAUACACAUGCCAUGUUGGUUUGCUGCACCCAUUAACUCAUCAUUUACAUUAGUUAUUUCUCCUAAUGCUAUCCCUC
rnacentral:lncRNA from 1 species